rnacentral:lncRNA from 1 species
UUUUUUUUUCUUUCUAGAUUGAAUAUAGAUGAAUUUCAGUUUAUUCUCUAUCCGGGUUACCAUACAUUUGGAAUUAAUAGAGCUUAUAUUCUAUAAGGUUUUACAAAUUUUUAAGAGUUUGAAUAAAUAUGUACAUAUUUUUCUUUCUCCUUACAUCUAAAAUUAAAAUGUGUAUCUUUCCAAGGAACCUGCAGAUUUAUAAAGACAGGACAGCCAGGCUAGUGAAAUUAAAAUUCGUAUCUCUCAAAGGAAACCACGCACUCAUAAAGAAUAGCCAGGCUAGUUAUUGUGAAUAGUACUUAAGAUCCAAGCAGUGAUUUAGUGUCAUGCAGUUGCUCUAUUUCCCUCUGGUUUUAUGAAAUGAAUUAUUGAGUAGCAACUUUGUUUAUGUCAUUAAGAUUAAAUCUCUGUCAAAAUUGUCCUAGAGGAAUUCUAAAAGGUCUGAGAAAAUGGCUUCGGUAUUAACAAUGUUCCCAGUUUUUCACAUUAAAAAUGUUGCUUUUUCUGACAUCCUAAUUUGUAUAUUUAUGUUGUGUGUGUGUGUGUGUGUACGUGUGUAAAAAUAACUGAGGUAGAUAUUCCGUUAGAGAUAUCACAUUACUUUUCCUAUAUAUAAUAUAAAAAGCUUUGGAGUGUGUGCGGGUGAAUGGGUAUGAUUUGGUAGAGUUGAAUACAUUUAUAGUGGGAUAUUUUUCUAUUACAGGAAAUUCAAACACAAAUGCAAAACCCUCAAAUACUAAGAAGAUGGUAAUAUUAUAUCUGUCUAAAAUGCAGUAGGUACCAGAAUGAGAGAAAUGAUGAUGUUAUCAUUCUACUUUUAAUUUCCAAAAUUAGUUUUACUAAUUGUUCGGUGACUGUUAAAUGCUGGAUGUGAUCAUGCCAGAGAGACAAGAGUAGUUACUCUUGAUCAUGGAUGCUCUAUGUCUACACCCUGUGACAAAGUCUUGCAUGAAUAUGCUGCUAGUGAAGAAUUCAUUUUCUGCCAACUUCAGAUUUGUUGUUGUUGUUAUAUAAUUCUUCUGCUUAAGAAAAGAGAGAAUUUUAAAAACACCAUUCUGAGUUUUCUACUUGAGAGAUCUUUGUAUUACAGGAAAAACCUCUUGAUCUUCAUAUUGUUACGUUCAUGGCCAUAAUAAUGCUACAGUCUGCUUAGUCAACUACCUUAGUAGUAGUACCUAAUCUUAUGAAGAACAACCUUGUCUCAAAAUGUUUAAUUAUUUAACAGGCAUCACAAUUUUAUUUAGUGAUCUCACUUUUUUCUUAGAAUGCAUUCUAGGAAAGUGCAAGGUGAAAGAAAUUUAUGGCAAUUCAGCACCCUAAAUGAUAAUAGGGAGCAGGAGCUAGUCCUUGGACCCUUACUGGCAUAAACUCACAAUAGCUGAGUUUUCCAUACUUCAUUAAUUGAUUACUAUUCUCAUCAAAUAGAUUCUGUUUUGAAAAAAAGAUGUUAACCCAUCUAUUUGUGUUCUGUUGUGCUACAGUUUCCUUUUGUAUGCCUCAUUGUAAUAAUCUUUUAUGCAGUUGUCAAAUUUAAUGUGUAUAAAGAGUGCUUGAGAUGAUUGAAGACCAAAUGGAUAGGUCUAUUUGUACUGUGUAAAUGCUGUGGAAAGACUAUUUGGAGUGGUAUUUGGUAGCCAUCUACAAUUUGAUAUGUAAAUUAUUAGAUAAUUCAAGGGUUUAUAAUACUAGUACUAGUAGAAGUCAUAGCAAUAAUUAUAAAGAUAUAUUUAUAUCUCCAUUUAUAGUUUUAUAGAACUAUUUAUAUGCAUUAGUUCAUAGAUAUGAUUAAUUUCAUGAUAACUUAUUCAGUGUUUAUUGAUGGCCCAGGCGCUCAGGGGAGGAGAAGCAAGACUUGUGAGACUCACUGAAAACUACCCUGAAGUUAAUAUCUACUCUUAGCUCUGAAAACACUUGCCUGAUUUAGUUUUUUAUUCAUAUUUUUAUUCUCCAACAUUAAGAGGAAAAAUAUCCCCCUGAAUCUCUUGGGAAAUUGUAUGGUCUAGUAAUCAGACUGCACAUUAUUGAGAAUGAUCUUUUUUAUGAAACAAAGAAAGCAAAAUAAAGUGUUCUCUGAGGUCAAAAUAAGAGUGGCAAGGGGUAGCUCAGUAGGUUGAGCCUCUGACUCUUACUAUCAUUUCAGGUCAUGAUCUUGGGGUAGUGGGGAUCGAGUUGGGCUCCUCACUGAGCAAGGAGUCUCCUUGGAAUUCUCUUUUCCUCGGCCCUCUGCCCCUCCCACCAACUCAUUCUCUCUCUCUCUCUCUCUCUCUCUAAAAUAAAGUUAAACAAAUCUGAAAAGAAAAUAACAGUGGCAAAUUAAAGUUUCAACACAAAUCCUAAUUAUUUCCUUGAAAGGCACAAUGUUCAGUGAAAAAGGCAUUAUGAAAAAUAAGAGCCUACAUCAGGAUUUUCAGAGCUAAAAAAUGUAACAAUAAGACAAAAGCAUCUUAGUGGCUUCACUUGAAGGAGAUCCUUCCUCAUAAUAUCAGCAUGCCAGGCAGCCCGGGUGGCUCAGCGGUUUAGUGCCACCUGCAGCCCGGGGCAUGAUUCUAGGGACCAGGGAUUGAGUCCCACGUUGGGGCUCCCUGCGUGGAGCCCGCUUCUCCCUCUGCCUGUGUCUCUGCCUCAGUGUGUGUGUGUGUGUCUCUCAUGAAUAAAUAAAUGAAAAAUCUUUAAAAAAAAUAUCAUCAUGCCAUUUAGAUUUUAAUUGCGUUGUAUGUCCAGCUAUGUGCUGGUAAUGGUGAGAGGUAAGUUCCAGGAGUUUUUCCUUGCAUAUGAUUUCAUGUAUUAAACCAAUUGAUUUUACUGUGCUGCUUUUUUCUUGUUUGGCAAAAAAAAAAAAAAAAGUUUGAAGUGUUUUAAGUGGUAUGUAUAGGAGCAUAGUAUCUUGGUUCAAAUAAGAAAUUACAAAUUCAUAAUCAGAUAGAUACCUUUUCUAACUCUCAGGUAAUAUAAUAAUACUGAGAUCCCAAGCUUGUUCUGUUUCUAGAUCCUUUAAGACCUCUGGGGUUGAUAAAAUUUGGAGGUUACAUAUUGUUCAUUAGUAUGGGGAAAAAAGAGAAAAAAAUCACCCUUAUCUUGUGUAGCCAAGCAGGAGAUUACAAUUUUAAUACAAAAUUUCUCUUUUUGCAAUUAUCAUACAUUAAAUAAUUAGGAUUUGGGACACAGUUGUUUUCAAUAUUGAAACCUCCCUAAAACAUUGUGAUGCUUACAGCUUGCUUUGAAGUUAAGAAAAGCUCUGAAUACAGGUAAGAUGCCUGAAAAAAAAAAAAAAAAAAAAAACAACCCACGAAAGUGUUAAAUCAGAAUAAAACCAGCAGAGAGAGGUAAAGCCAUAAUAGGGAAUAUUCAUUUUGUUUUGAAAGGUGGUAAGACAGUCAUGUCAGGACAACUAAU